ACGUAGGAGGCGAGCGUUAUCCGGAUUCACUGGGCGUAAAGCGCGCGUAGGCUGUUGAGUAAGUCGGACGUGAAAGCCCCUGGCUCAACUGGGGGAGGCCGUUCGAUACUGCUCGGCUUGAGGGUAAGAGGGGGAAGUGGAAUUCCCGGUGUAGCGGUGGAAUGCGUAGAGAUCGGGAGGAACACCAGUGGCGAAGGCGGCUUCCUGGCUUACCCCUGACGCUGAGAGCGCGAAAGCGUGGGGAGCAAACGGGAUUAGAUACCCCGGUAGUCCACGCUCUAAACGAUGAGAGCUGGGUGUUGGUGGGAUUUCCCAUCAGUGCCGAAGCAAACGCGUUAAGCUCUCCGCCUGGGGACUACGAACGCAAGUUUA
rnacentral:rRNA from 1 species